rnacentral:rRNA from 1 species
UACGGAGGGGGCGAGCGUUAUUCGGAAUUAUUGGGCGUAAAGGGCGCGUAGGCGGGCGGGCGCGUCCGGGGUGAAAUCCCACGGCUCAACCGUGGAACGGCCUCGGAUACGGGCGGUCUCGAGGGGGGUAGGGGCGUGCGGAACUCUGGGUGGAGCGGUGAAAUGCGUUGAUAUCCAGAGGAACUCCGGUGGCGAAGGCGGCACGCUGGACCCCUUCUGACGCUGAGGCGCGAAAGCCAGGGGAGCGAACGGG